AGCUGCGGUUGAGUUCCUGAUGCGUGGCCAUGCUUCCCCGGUCGUGCUGCGGGAGCGUGCGCUCGCGCCAUGGUAUUUAUGUAUGAGCUCGUGAGGUGAGGAUUCGUCAAUGGAGGACGACGCAGGUGGCGCGCAUGCCAAGACAGGUUAAUUCUGUCGUUGAAUCAUUCAGAAUUCCAGAUGGAGAUCGUUCGUCAUUGCUAAUUUUGUCAUGAGCAAAACCAGCGGUUCGUCGAGGCUCCUAUAUAUAGUAGAUAGAUCCGGCACCACAAGUAGUUCAGUAACUGAUCAUAGCAUUCAUCGACCAGGGCGCCAUUGUUAAGACAGAUUCAGCAGGAGCAAUCUGCUAUGGUACAAUGUCAAUUUCAAGAGUAAACUCAGCCAAGAGGCAAGCCAUGGCUGCUACUCGGAGCUUGGAAGAUGAUAAUACAUGGCAUGCACGGCGGUGUGUCAAUCCGGACCAGGUUCUCUUAACAGAUAAUAUGUACAGAUCAGAUUCACACUCUCUCCUGCUGCUCUGCCACGUCUCCCUGACCAGCUGCUACCUGCACGGGCACCGGCUUCACCGGAGCCGCCGAGGCUGCGGCGGCAGCUUCCUCCCUCUUGCCCCACAGGACAAGGUAGAGCCCCAUGAUCACCAGCACUGACCCCAGCACACUGCAACAUCAUAUCAUCAUCAAGUCAACACCAAAUCACCACUGAUGGAGCUCACUGCCUGCUGCAAUCUAGACACAACAUUCUGACGAGAAAUAGCAAUGUUCAGAAUGGCUGGCUGACCUUCCGAGGUAGAGUGGCUCAUGGAGGAAGAAAAGGUCGAUGCCGGCGACAAACAUCUGGGACAGCGGGCUGAAGGCCGCGGUGAACACCGGGCCCCUCUUCUCCACGCAGUACGUCAGCAGGAGGUACCCGAUCCCAGAAGCCACCACGCCACAGUACACGACGGCGGCGAUCUCCACGGUGCCCCUGAGCUUCCACAUCUCCACGGUGAUCCGCUGCGUUGACAGCGCCAGCGCCCCCGCCUGUACGAAGCUGAGCAGGGACAUGACAGCUGUGGCAGAGUACACUGCAGGGUACCUUCGCAUGAGCAGACGCUGCAGCAGCAGCCACACCGCAAAGCCGACGACGUUGGCCAGCAUCGACACUGAGCCCAGCACCCAUCGCACCGCGCUGGCGUGCCCAUGGUCGUUAACGUCGCUGGACACGACCACUGGGGUGCUGGGUGGAGAGGAUGCUAAAUGGUGGUGGUGGGUGAGGGAUGUGCCCUUGUAGAAGAAGUGUCUUUUUGGCACCAAAAAAAAGAAGGAACAUUACCCGAAAGCGAGUGAUAUCAAGAAGGUAACCACUGGGAGCAGAUUCGAGAAAGUUGCAGCAAAUGUUGCUGUUGUGUACUCCAAUCCGACGAAGAGCGUGUACUGAAGCAGCACCGGACCGAGGAUUCCACUAAGGAACAUGUACACAAAGACCUCAGCAGUGAACUUUGGUCUUCUCUUUCUGAAAGAAGAAGAAAAAAAGGCAGUGCAUGUGCAUGAUCAGCAGCAGUGCAAUACCAGCGACAACUACUGGCAAUGGGGCCAAGGAAUACAGUGGCCAGCAUCUGCCUGAAAGUGAUGAGGACCAGCCGGUUCAUCCCCUGGUUCAGCGCCUGCUUGAGAAGCGCAGUCAUGACGGCAAUCACGAUGUUCGUGACCACCAUCGCUGCUGUUGGCAUCCAUUGCUCCAUGCAUCCUGCACUCCACAUUCUCGGCAUGUUUCCGAUUGCGGCUUUGCUUUCGCACACGUGACCGAGAACUAAAACAUGGCCCAAGAGGAAGGAGGACAAUGGUUGUGUCCUGACAUCAGAAUGUCUGAAUAAUUGUGGAAAUUUCUCGAGCAAAUUGCACAACCAGCUGAAUCGAAUAGCUGCCUUUAUUACACAGUGCAGCGGAACAAAGUAAAGCUCUGUCCCUCUUUUUUCCAGUUUCUAGCAAGCAAAAUAUAACCUGUGAUCCUUCCUGCAUGGCCUUCUUCUACUGUAGAGCAUUAGAUGCUGUCUUAGCACUGAAAAUUGUAGCAUGAGCCCAUUUUAGGGUCUACAAAGAACAAUGUAGAGAAACACCUU